AUCGAACGCUGGCGGCAUGCUUAACACAUGCAAGUCGAACGAGUGGCGGACGGGUGAGUAAUGUCUGGGAAACUGCCUGAUGGAGGGGGAUAACUACUGGAAACGGUAGCUAAUACCGCAUACCAUCAGAUGUGCCCAGAUGGGAUUAGCUAGUUGGUGGGGUAACGGCUGACCAAGGCGACGAUCCCUAGCUGGUCUGAGAGGAUGACCAGCCAAACGGGAACGGAGACACGGUCCAGACUCCUACGGAAGGCAGCAGUGGGGAAUAUUGCACAAGGGGCGCAAGCCUGAGGCAGCCAUGCCGCGUGUAUGAAGAAGGCCUUCGGGUUGUAAAGUACUUUCAGCGGGGAGGCGGUACCCGCAGAAGAAGCCCCGGCUAACUCCGUGCCAGCAGCCGCGGUAAUUC
rnacentral:rRNA from 1 species